rnacentral:rRNA from 1 species
AUUGAACGCUGGCGGCAUGCCUUACACAUGCAAGUCGAACGGUAACAGGUCUUCGGACGCUGACGAGUGGCGAACGGGUGAGUAAUGCAUCGGAACGUGCCCAGUCGUGGGGGAUAACUGCUCGAAAGAGCAGCUAAUACCGCAUACGACCUGAGGGUGAAAGCGGGGGACCGUAAGGCCUCGCGCGAUUGGAGCGGCCGAUGUCAGAUUAGCUAGUUGGUGGGGUAAAGGCCUACCAAGGCAACGAUCUGUAGUUGGUCUGAGAGGACGACCAGCCACACUGGGACUGAGACACGGCCCAGACUCCUACGGGAGGCAGCAGUGGGGAAUUUUGGACAAUGGGCGCAAGCCUGACCCAGCAAUGCCGCGUGCAGGAAGAAGGCCUUCGGGUUGUAAACUGCUUUUGUCAGGGAAGAAAUCUUCUGGGCUAAUACCCCGGGAGGAUGACGGUACCUGAAGAAUAAGCACCGGCUAACUACGUG